rnacentral:rRNA from 1 species
AUGAAUGAAGAUCUUUGCAAACCUUACACUAAUGAGGAAAUGAAGAUGGAUUUAUUUCAAAUGGUACCAACUAAAGCUCCAGGACGGGAUGGUUUCCCUGCCCUGUCUUAUCAAAUCCAUUGGAGCUUUUUGGAAGAUGAUAUUUGCCAUUUCGUGCGAAGUUUUUUGGAGGGAGGGCCUAUCCCAGAGGGAUUUUGUGAUGAGUGUGGUUUUUCUACACCCCAGCUCGGUGCACCCACGCAAGAAGACAUAGAAAAACACUUUAAAAAUUCUGAAACUUUGUGCGAAUGUUCAUCAACAAAUAUUAUGGGCGUUUGCAAAGUUUGUCGGUCAAAUAACAUUCGAUGUCUGUGCAAAAAAGACAAUAACUAA